rnacentral:rRNA from 1 species
GACGAACGCUGGCGGCGUGCUUAACACAUGCAAGUCGAACGAUGAACCCGGAGCUUGCUCCUGUGGAUUAGUGGCGAACGGGUGAGUAACACGUGAGUAACCUGCCCUUGACUCUGGGAUAACUGCGGGAAACUGUAGCUAAUACCGGAUACGACCCUCGGCGGCAUCGCCAGGGGGUGGAAAGAAUUUCGGUCAAGGAUGGACUCGCGGCCUAUCAGCUAGUUGGUGAGGUAACGGCUCACCAAGGCGACGACGGGUAGCCGGCCUGAGAGGGUGACCGGCCACCACGGGACUGGAGAACGGCCCAGACUCCUACGGGGGGGAGCAGUGGGGAAUAUUGCACAAUGGGCGCAAGCCUGAUGCAGCAACGCCGCGUGAGGGAUGACGGCCUUCGGGUUGGAAACCUCUUUUAGUAGGGAAGAAGCGAAAGUGACGGUACCUGCAGAAAAAGCACCGGCUAACUACGUGCCAGCCGCCGCCGCGG